rnacentral:rRNA from 1 species
GGUGAGAGCCGAGGUGCUCGGAGCCAGAACACAGGUGCUGCAUGGCUGUCGUCAGCUCGUGUCGUGAGAUGUUGGGUUAAGUCCCGCAACGAGCGCAACCCUCGACCUUAGUUGCCAGCAUUCAGUUGGGCACUCUAAGGUGAACUGCCGGCUAAAAGUCGGAGGAAGGUGGGGAUGACGUCAAAUCAUCAUGCCCCUUAUGACCUGGGCUACACACGUGCUACAAUGGGCGGUACAAAGGGUCGCGAACCCGCGAGGGGGAGCCAAUCCCAAAAAGCCGCUCUCAGUUCGGAUUGCAGGCUGCAACUCGCCUGCAUGAAGCCGGAAUCGCUAGUAAUCGCGGAUCAGCAUGCCGCGGUGAAUACCGGUUCCCGGGCCUU